rnacentral:rRNA from 1 species
UAAGGAAUAUUGGUCAAUGGACGCAAGUCUGAACCAGCCAUGCCGCGUGAAGGAUGAAGGUCCUCUGGAUUGUAAACUUCUUUUAUCUGGGACGAAAACGGGAUUUUUAUCUCAAUUGACGGUACCAGAGGAAUAAGCACCGGCUAACUCCGUGCCAGCAGCCGCGGUAAUACUGAGGGUGCGAGCGUUAUCCGGAUUUACUGGGUUUAAAGGGUGCGUAGGUGGGCUUAUAAGUCAGUGGUGAAAUCUCCGAGCUCAACUUGGAAACUGCCGUUGAUACUAUAGGUCUUGAAUUAUCUGGAGGUAAGCGGAAUAUGUCAUGUAGCGGUGAAAUGCUUAGAUAUGACAUAGAACACCAAUUGCGAAGGCAGCUUACUACAUAUAAAUUGACGCUGAGGCACGAAAGCGUGGGGAUCAAACA